GAUGAACGCUCGCUACAGGCUUAACACAUGCAAGUCGCGGGGCAGCAUGGGGGUUGCUUGCAAUCCCCGAUGGCGACCGGCGCACGGGUGAGUAACGCGUAUCCAACCUGCCCUUCACCACGGGAUAACCCGGCGAAAGUCGGACUAAUACCGUAUGUUGUCCAUUGACGGCAUCCGAUUUGGACGAAAGGCUUGGCGGUGAGGGAUGGGGAUGCGUCCGAUUAGCCAGACGGCGGGGUAACGGCCCACCGUGGCUACGAUCGGUAGGGGUUCUGAGAGGAAGGUCCCCCACACUGGAACUGAGACACGGUCCAGACCCCUACGGGAGGCAGCAGUGAGGAAUAUUGGUCAAUGGGCGUAAGCCUGAACCAGCCAAGUAGCGUGCAGGAUGACGGCCCUAUGGGUUGUAAACUGCUUUUAUGCGGGGAUAAAGUGGCCCACGUGUGGGCUUUUGCAGGUACCGCAUGAAUAAGGACCGGCUAAUUCCGUG
rnacentral:rRNA from 1 species